GCACUGGUGGUUCAGUGGUAGAGUUCUCGCCUUCCAUGUGGGAGACCCGGGUUUGAUUCCUGACCAAUGCA
rnacentral:tRNA from 1 species